rnacentral:rRNA from 1 species
AUUGAACGCUGGCGGCAUGCUUUACACAUGCAAGUCGAACGGUAACAGGCCGCAAGGUGCUGACGAGUGGCGAACGGGUGAGUAAUGCAUCGGAACGUGCCCAGUCGUGGGGGAUAACGCAGCGAAAGCUGUGCUAAUACCGCAUACGAUCUAUGGAUGAAAGCGGGGGACCGUAAGGCCUCGCGCGAUUGGCGCGGCCGAUGUCAGAUUAGGGUAGUUGUUGGGGUAAAGGCCUACCAAGCCGACGAUCUGUAGCUGGUCUGAGAGGACGACCAGCCACACUGGGACUGAGACACGGCCCAGACUCCUACGGGAGGCAGCAGUGGGGAAUUUGGGACAAUGUGCGCAAGCCUGAUCCAGCAAUGCCGCGUGCAGGAAGAAGGCCUUCGGGUUGUAAACUGCUUUUGUAGGGAACGAAACGGUCUGGGUUAAUACCCUGGGCUAAUGACGGUACCGUAAGAAUAAGCACCGGCUAACUACGUGCCAGCCGCCGCGGUAAAAC